rnacentral:lncRNA from 1 species
CCUGUAUGAGUAAAGGUUAUGAGGUCACAAUCAAAAUAGCACAAGACCUGUGGUUUUAUGUAGUAAACAAGACACUAAAACAAAACAUGCAUCCUGUAUGAGUAAAGGUUUAGAGGCCUAUAUCAAUGACACAGCAACCAAUUAAUGAAAGAGGUCAAAUUUGUAUCAAACAAUAAACAAGCAUCUUUAUAACAUGUUACAAAUGUCAACAUCAAAUAGAAACAUUUAUAUUCUCAUUUUAAGCAUCUGUCAUCAGUAUUUACUUGAUCCCUGUCCAGUCAAGUUGAUCCCUGUCCAGCCAAGUUGAUCCCUGUCUAGUCAAGUUGAUACCUGUCCAGUCAAGUUGAUCAUUGACCAGUUGUUUUGAUCACUGUCCAGUCAAGCUGGUGUUAUAGGUAAGU